ensembl:lncRNA
UUAGGCUGUAGGCCUAAUGUAUAGGCUUAUUAAAUACAAGUUGUAGAUGCUAACGAAAAAGAGGUGGGCAAGAAAAUCCACUCCCUCCGGACCCAGUACAACAGGUACAGCAAGGCACCGGCUCCGGGGAGGGCCGGUGGGAGAACUGGCAGGCAGGACUGGGUUCUCAGGAGGCUCUCUUUCCUGGAGCCAUAUAUCAGGAAGAGAGCUUCUUCGUCCAACGUGGACGAAAAGAUUGUUGAAAGAGAGAGUGAUCUUGUGGAGGGACUGGACGAGGAAGAGGACGUGGAAGUAGAGGAGAGCAGUGAACCUGAGGGACAAGGCAGCACCUGCCUCGUCCCUCAGGUUCAGAAGGUCGCAGGCAGUAAAAGAAAGAGGCAAACAGAAAAGCAAGAAGAUGAGGUCCUAAGUGCCGUUGGCAAUUUUCUGAGACACAGGAUGGAACAGAGGGAGGAGGACACAAUGUCAAUCUUUUGUAAGAACCUCGAGAUGAAAAUGAGGCGAAUCAAGGACCCAAAUAUUUUAUUAGAUUUAGAGCACCAGCUGGAGGAAGCCUGCUACCAGGCUUCACUUAAAGAUAGAGACAACCAAGCCCCCCAAGGCACAGAAAGGAAAGGUAAUCCCUAAUAGUCACAUCACUCUAAAAUAUCUCUGUGACGUCAUCGAACACAAAUGGGCGACGUUUUAUUUGUGAUGCAAUGGUCUUCCAUCCCAGCUACAUCACCAUGUGAUCGCUUACACCAUGAUGAGAUGGAAAUGAUCCUCGAAACACGUUAUUUAUUGAACAGGAUAACUUACUGCUCAGCAUUGAUGCGAUUUAUACAAGCCAAGAAAUAAUAUAUUUUUUAAAUUGUAUUGAUGUAGAAUAGUAAUUUCAGAUCAUAAAUAUCAAGGGCUUUAACCAUUUGAAUUGGUGAUGAUAAAAUAGAAAGGUUGUUCUGCGUUAUAGCUCGAUUUUGCAAUCGGUACAGGUUAUUUGCCAAAUCUACAUCAGUUCUGUUGGUUUCCAAAUAAAACUCUAAACUCAUCCAA